UACGUAGGUGGCGAGCGUUGUCCGGAUUUACUGGGCGUAAAGGGAGCGUAGGCGGGCUUUUAAGUGAGAUGUGAAAUACUCGGGCUCAACUUGAGUGCUGCAUUUCAAACUGGAAGUCUAGAGUGCAGGAGAGGAGAAUGGAGUUCCUAGUGUAGCGGUGAAAUGCGUAGAGAUUAGGAAGAACACCAGUGGCGAAGGCGAUUCUCUGGACUGUAACUGACGCUGAGGCUCGAAAGCGUGGGGAGCAAACAGG
rnacentral:rRNA from 1 species